AGCAGCCGCGGUAAUUCCAGCUCCAAUAGCGUAUAUUAAAGUUGUUGCAGUUAAAAAGCUCGUAGUUGAAUUUCGGGAUCAAUAUGUUGGUCGUGCCUUGGUACGUACUGGCAUUAUCGAUUCCUACCUUCUGAAGAACCUCGAUGUCAUUAAUUUGGUGUCUUGGGGAAUCAGGACUGUUACUUUGAAAAAUUAGAGUGUUUAAAGCAGGCUCGCGCUUGAAUACAUUAGCAUGGAAUAAUGAAAUAGGACGUUUGAUUCUAUUUUGUUGGUUUCUAGGAUCGACGUAAUGAUUAGUAGGGAUAGUUGGGGGCAUUAGUAUUCAAUUGUCAGAGGUGAAAUUCUUGGAUUUAUUGAAGACUAACUACUGCGAAAGCAUUUGCCAAGGAUGUUUUCAUUAAUCAAGAACGAAAGUUAGGGGAUCGAAGACGAUCAGAUACCGUCGUAGUCUUAACCAUAAACUAAUGCCGACUAGGGAUCGGAUGAUGUAAUUUUAAU
rnacentral:rRNA from 1 species